UUGUCACUUUGACUUUUUAAAAUUUGGCAAUUGUAAAUUAGCGUUAGGAAAAAAAAGAUAUUACUUCUCUCUCUAAAUAUUUCCUCUGUCUUCUCUCUUAAACAAAAAGCCUAAACCCUAACCCCAACAGCCACCUUAACCAGCUCGCUGGUGGCCGCCGCUCGCUAAACGGUCGCCGGCGAGCCUGCUACCCUGUUGUAUUAGCGUUGUAGCUUCGCGUUUCUGGCGGGAAAGAAGAAGAUGGAGCCAAGCAUGGUCGAAAGAGAAGCUUCUACCUCCUCUUAGGGGUCAUUUGGUUCGCUAAGGUGGAAUGGAAUGGUAUGUAAUCUCAUACCUGGGUGGUAUGGGUUCCAUUUCCCAUACCAGUCUGAAACUGUUUGCUUUGAACCGCUAGUUCAAGAAGAGAGAAAAUAGAAGGGCGAAGGAGGAGUAAGCUACGCAUCAAGCCGGAGAAGAUGGACUAGGGUCUCCGGCGAUGAUUAAAGUCAAAAUACAUACGAUGAUGAUUAAAGGGUUGACGAUGAUGGCUCCCGGAUUGAAGGUCGCCUGUGAUGACCAUGAUCGAAGAUGGUGGGCGGCUGCAAUUUCAUCUCUUUAUGAGUUAGGGUUUGUAACCUUGGUGGAAUGGAAUGUGAAUCUUAGGGUAAGAGGUGGGAAUGAGAUUUUAGGGGUAUGGUAUGCAGAUAGAACCCAUUUGGUACGAGACUCCAUUCCAAAAUAGCCCAACCAAACAAUAAAGUGGACAGAAUAGACUCUAAUUCCAUUCCAAAAUGCCCAACCAAACGACCCCUUAGUAUGCUUCUUCUUCCCGGAUCUUGUAAUUUUUAAUUCGGAGUUGUUUUUAGUAGGCGGUUCACCGCGUUGUUUGGUGAUUAUCUCAACGUUUUAGCGGGUGGAGAUCAAUCAAUUCUGAUCCAGGAUUCAAUAAUUGUCGGCUUCUAAUCUCACAUCUAUUUCGUACGCCAUCGUCGGAAAAGUGUUGGUAAAGGUAAAGUACGGCCUAGGGUUUCUUUGGGAAAUUAGGAGCUUUUCUCGGCUUUCGGAUGUGGUUUUGAGGGAUCCCGACCUUUCAAAUCGAAGCUACUCUUGUUGCUGUCGUCUUGUGGUGUCGAAGAUACACCGAUCUUGACGAUAAAGGUGAGGAGGGGAAUCAAAUCGGAGCUAUCUUGGUCGCCAUUGUCUUGUAGUGUCGGAAAUAUGCCGAUCUUGACAAUAAAAGGUGAAAACUAGGUUAGGGUUUCUGCUUUGAUUUUUUUAUUAGUCGGGGUUUUCCUUGUUUCUGACUUCCUACUUUGUUGAGUUAAUUAUUUUUUUAGUUGUUUGUUUUGGUUUAGUUGUUAAUUGUUGUGGUUUAGUAAGUGUUAUCUUCUUUUGAAUGUCUAGACCACAAGUUGUUAAGUUGGUUUCCUUGAUGGAUCAUUUUUC